GCAUGUGGUAACCAUGAUCUUGAUCAGAUCUAAAAUGAAGAUGGAAGAUUCAGACUCCAACUCUCGCUCUGCGCUCGGACCUCUGGAUGUAGUAAGAUCUUAACAAUUAACACAGCAUUUCUGCAGGAAACCUAAGACUAUGAGUCAAAAUUAAGAAGGAAGACAAUCAAACACAUCCCUCUAAUCAUAUACGUAAAAAGUACUACUUUUUUUUUUCCAGAGAACCUUAAAAAUAGCAAAAAAUUAGCACGAAAAUCAGGAACUUCUAUUAUUCAGUCAGAUAUAAGGAAAAGACUCUUUUUUCUUUUUAACAAAAGAACCUUAAAUCAGGCACUUCCAUUAUCAAGUCAGAUACACCAACACCCCCCCCCCCCCCCGGUUUCUAACCUAAAAGAUACCAUAAAGUUCACACUUUCUGAUCUUGGUAAAUCAGGCACUACCAUUGUCAAAUCAGACACAAAAAAAAUAUAAUUUUUUUCCAAAAGAACCUGAAAAUAGCAGAAAAUUCACCUUUUCGAUCUUGGGAAACCCCACAAAUCCUACUUCACACUAUGAAUCAAAAAUAAAUUCUUUUACAUAAAGGGGUCAUAAAAAUAAGUUCUUUUACAUAAAUGGGUCACCAAAAUCAAUUCGUUUCCAUAAAGGGAUCAUCAAACACAAGAGUGUACAUAAACGUGAAUUAAACAAUAGUUUUAAUGGAUUGAGAUAAAGAAAAUGAAGUGGAAUACCUGUGAGAUCGCUCAAUUGAUGUGCAAAAGAGAAAGUUGAGGUGUUUAAUGUGUGUGUACGUUAAAGGCGGGUAGCUCCUUAAAUAGUCG
rnacentral:lncRNA from 1 species